GCUCCCAUGGCACAACUGGAUAGCGCAGCCCCCUCCUAAGGGGCAGGUCACAGGUUCAAAUCCUGUUGGGAGCGCCA
rnacentral:tRNA from 1 species